AUGAAUCGUCCCGAAAUGUCUAACUCACAUGAUGAACCGGAGAAGCUACAAGAUUCAAAUGCAACACCGAUGUGUAGUUUACGUGAUGAACUGGAGAAGAAACUACAAGAUUCAGAUGCAACACCGAUGUGUCUUCGUCUAGAAUUUUUGAGAGCCAUCACAUGUGAUUUUUCGACUGAAUCGGAACUUGGUAGAGGUGGGUAUGGAGUUGUUUACAAGGGAGUUCUUCGGAGUGGUAAAAUUAUUGCGGUGAAGAAGCUUUUUGAAUUACAUCUAAAAGAGGAGAAUUUCCAGAAUGAGGUCAGUUAUCUUAUGGGUAUCAAGCACCGAAACAUAGUACAAUUUGUAGGUUACUGUGCAGAAUCGCAUUGGGAAGCGAUAGAGAAACCAAGUGGGAGUAAGAAGCAUAUCUUUGCUGAAGUUCCAAAAAGGUUACUCUGCUUCGAGUAUGUAUCCAACAAAGGCCUCGACAAACAUAUUUAUGAAAGAUCUUUGGACCUCAAGUGGAAUAUGAGAUAUGAGAUAAUCAAGGGGAUUUGCAAUGGCUUGCGUUUCCUUCAUGACGAAUGCCGUAUCAUCCAUCUGGACCUUAAGCCUGAAAAUAUAUUGAUGGACUCUAAUAUGACACCAAAAAUUGCGGACUUUGGUCUGUCCAGGAUCUUUGGCGAACAGCAGUCACACAUUGUCACUGAUAAUCAUGCAGGAACGCGUGGAUAUAUGGCACCAGAAUACUUAAUUCAUGGCGUAAUCACUAAGAAGGCAGAUAUUUUCAGCUUGGGUAUUAUCAUCAUAGAGAUAAUUACAGGUCAAAGGGAGUAUCCUUAUUUUGACCUCGAUAGUUCCAAAAAUGCUGCUACAUCUUGUCAGCAUUUCAAAGAGAAAGUACUUAGAAGUUGGAGGAGCAAAUUUGUAUCCACAUCGAAGUAUAUAUCAAUGAAAAAAUAUAGCCAACAAGUAGAACUAUGCAUCGCCAUAGCCCUAACAUGUGUGGACCCUGCUAUGGAGAAAAGACCUACAGCAAAGGAUAUAGUCCAAGUGCUUAAUGCAGCAGACCAGAUGGAAGCCUGCGGAGGGUUACCUAUAGAAAUGCAGUGCAAGGACAAGUCACUGAUUCUAGACACUACUGUUAGCAAGGAGCACAGUAUCAUUGAAGAUGUAUUCAGCAAUGAGACAGAUGGUCAAAUGUGUGGGGUGAAGCAAUCACAGGAAGGUUUGUCACCAACAACGCCCUUGUGGGAGUCAAACAUACGCACUCAGAAUCACCAAGAGGUAGUAAACGAGUCCAGUAAGCCAGAACAAGCAAGUGACAAAACCAGUGAGGUGGAAGCCCGUGAAGAGUUUCCAUUAUAUACUGCGAGCAAGGAUCUCGCUCCCCAUAGUGUGACUGAAGAGAAUGUCAUGAACAAGACAGAUGGUAAAUUGGUGGAUGAGGGGAAAACAGCAUGCCAUACUGUGACUGAAGACAAUGUCAUCAAUAAGACAGAUGGUAAAUUGGUUGCUGAGGCGAACUCUGAUGAGGAUUUGUCGGACCUUCCAUGGGGGCGAGCAGGGGUGGCUGCCCCGGGUCUCCGGCGGCGGAUUAAGGUACAUCCCCUGCCCAGCCACGAGCAGGCACAACAGGCUCAAGCAUCACCGCCGCCCGCUGCUUCGGUGUUUUUGCGAGAAUCGAGCAUAGGCAAUCAAAAUGAUCUAGGGGGAGCAAAGGAUUCCAGUGUGUCACAAUCAGCACAUGACACAACCACUGAGACUGAGGUAAUCACAGGCUCCAGUGCCCUUCCUGACGUUUGCCCGCUUGAGCUCCACUUUCGCUUCGAACCCGACAAGUUGAUCCCAUGCUCACUUGAAAUAACAAACAACACAGAUGAAAAUUUGUUACUUGUGCUCAUGAAGAAGGGCAAUGACCAGUCAUGCUUCUUAUGUCUGCCAUUGUAUGGAAUUGUUGCCCCGAGGUCCACUUACACUCUCGUUGUGACAAUGAAUAAACACAAAAACCUACCAAAAGAAAGAACUAUAGAUUUAAUCCUGCAGAGCAGUAUAAUUGGUUAUGAUUCAUUAUGUACUGAUGCCAAAUACAUUUGCGAAGAACAUUUUAAGGAAGCCGAAGAGACGGGGACUACGGUGCAUAAGGUUUCAUUGAAAGCUGUUUGUGCCCUACAAGCAGAGAUGCCAUUCGAGGCAAUGCCCCCUUUAAUAAAGAUCAUAUCGGUGGAGAAUACAGAUUCGAUCCAUUCCAUGGAUGCAAAUCAGACAGAUCCAUUAAUUUUAACAGGUUCAUUUGGGUAUGUUCACAUGCAUAACUAUGGCCUACAGAAAUCGGUAGGUUCGGUUGAAGCCUCAAGGUCGCAAAUAGUUUGUGUUAAAUUCAUUGCACGAAAGAGAUGGUUUGUGGCUGGGUCAAGUGAUGGUUUUGUCCAUGUGUACAAAUAUGAGAAUAAAAUGGAAAACAUCAUGAGUUUUGAAGCUCACAGUCUUGGUGUUUGUUCACUAGCCGUUCAUCCAACAAAGCCCUAUGUGCUGUCAGGAUCUCGCGCACAAAUAAAGCUUUGGGACUGGGACCAGCACUGGAGCUUGAAGUGCAUACAAACAUCUGAAGAACACUGGGGCUAUGUUUGUGGAGUCGCAUUUAACCCAGAAGACACCAACAGUUUUGCUAGUUUCACUGAUGGUUCGGAGGAUCACGCAAUACAGGUUUGGAGUAUUGAUUCUCCCGAAUGCAAGUUUACUCUUUCUGGGCAUUCGCGUAAUGUGAGGUGCCUGGAUUUCUUCACACGGGAUGGUCGGAAGUGUUUGGUUACUGGCUCUUUGGACAAGACUGCCAAGAUAUGGGACAUGCAGAAGAAUGCGUGCACUGGUACACUACCUCAUAGGUCCGCAGUUCUUUCUGUCGUUUCCCAUCCCAAUCUUCCAAUUCUAGUAACAGGUACAGAAGACGGCCAUGUUUAUUUGUGGUGCUCCAUUAAUUUCAGGCUCAAGAGGAUACUGAACAUUCAUGGCCGUGAAAGGGUCGAAGGUCUCGCAUGUUUGGCAGGGUCGCGAAGGGUCGCGGUUGCACAUAAUGACGCCCUAUCAGUGAUGGAAAUUGGCGAUGAAGAACAUGGUGGCGGCGAGGGCAAGAGUGAGGAUUCUGUAUCAGCAGCAGAUUGGGAAAUCCUGUUGGAUACAAACGUCAAGAGCAUGCAUGCAAGAAAGAAAGAAAAAGCUAAAAAAUGCUGA
rnacentral:rRNA from 1 species